GACUAGUGAUGCAUAUCAAGCCACGGGUUGCUACAAUCUCCUGUGUUCAGGCUUUAUUCAAAUCAAUAAUCAAAUAGCAAUGGGUGCAAGCAUCUACCCUGUUUCUAGCUAUGGUAGCUCCCAAUAUGAUAUCAGCCUACUUAUUUGGAAGGUAAAAGCAGACAAUCGACUCUUUCAUUUUCUUGAUUACAAUAUGAAGAAAGGAAAACCCAUACAUGAAUGGCUACAGAAAAGAAGUUUGGUCAUUCCACUCAUUUAAUAUAAAUAUGUUCAUAUUAUAAAAGAAAGAUAAGGAGAAUCUUUCACUAUUUGUUUAUCUUCUACGUGUUUUUUUAUGAUCAGUUGAGCAUAUAUAUUUUAAUUGGAAACUGGGCCAAUAAUGUUGUAGGACCCAAAAGAGGGUAACUGGUGGAUACAAUUUGGAAAUAACUAUGUGCUAGGAUAUUGGCCAGCUUCGCUCUUCUCUUACCUGGCCGACAGUGCUACAAUGAUUGAGUGGGGAGGUGAGAUUGUAAACUCAGAAUUUGAUGGGCAGCACUCCACCACACAAAUGGGAAGCGGCCAUUUCCCUGAAGAAGGAUUUGGAAAAGCUGGUUACUUCAAGAAUAUUCAGAUUGUUGAUGGAUCCAAUCAUCUCAGGGCUCCUGAAGACCUUAACACUUUUACUGAACAAUCCAAUUGCUACAAUGUUCGAAAUGACAACGAUGGUGAUUGGGGUAACUACUUUUUUUAUGGUGGUCCUGGCAGAAACCCGAAUUGCCCGUGAUCUUACAGGGAGAAUAAGAUGGAAUUAAUCAAUAAAGAUUUGAUUCUUGUAUCAAUUCGAGUGGCGACAAGAUUGCCCUUGUGUAUAUCUUCUACUCUUCCAUAUUGUACACCAUUUAUUACUCUUUAUAGUUGGCUCGUGACUUGAAAAAUUUAUGCAAGUAUUAAAGCCAUUUAAGCAUGUAUCAUCUUUGUAAACUUUUAACUAGCAUCAUGUUAAUGAAUUUGUAUCUUAGCUCCUAUCGAAGCGAAUCACUUUUU
rnacentral:misc_RNA from 1 species